rnacentral:rRNA from 1 species
UACGUAGGGGGCAAGCGUUGUCCGGAAUCAUUGGGCGUAAAGAGCGUGUAGGCGGCCCGGUAAGUCCGCUGUGAAAGUCGGGGGCUCAACCCUCGAAUGCCGGUGGAUACUGUCGGGCUAGAGUGCGGAAGAGGCGAGUGGAAUUCCUGGUGUAGCGGUGAAAUGCGCAGAUAUCAGGAGGAAUACCGAUGGCGAAGGCAGGUCUCUGGGCUGACACUGACGCUCAUGCACGAAAGCGUGGGGAGCAAACAGG